CCCUUAGAUGUUCUGGGCCGCACGCGCGCUACACUGAUCGGUGCAACAAGCAUCCGUCCUUGGCCGACAGGCCCGGGCAAUCUUUGAACGCCGGUCGUGAUGGGGAUAGACCUUUGCAAUUUUUGGUCUUCAACGAGGAAUUCCUAGUAAACGCAAGUCAUCAACUUGCAUUGAUUACGUCCCUGCCCUUUGUACACACCGCCCGUCGCACCUACCGAUUGAAUGGUCCGGUGAAACCUCCGGAUUGGCGCGUGGCCUCGGGCGCCGCCGAGAAGUUGGUUAAACCUUACCAUUUAGAGGAAGGUGAAGUCGUAACA
rnacentral:rRNA from 1 species